rnacentral:rRNA from 1 species
CCUACGGGGGGGCAGCAGUGGGGAAUAUUGGACAAUGGGGGGAACCCUGAUCCAGCCACGCCGCGUGUGUGAAGAAGGCCCUCGGGUUGUAAAGCACUUUCAGUGAGGAAGAACGCCUGGUGGUUAAUACCCAUCAGGAAAGACAUCACUCACAGAAGAAGCACCGGCUAACUCCGUGCCAGCAGCCGCGGUAAUACGGAGGGUGCGAGCGUUAAUCGGAAUUACUGGGCGUAAAGCGCGCGUAGGUGGCUUGAUAAGCCGGUUGUGAAAGCCCCGGGCUCAACCUGGGAACGGCAUCCGGAACUGUCAAGCUAGAGUGCAGGAGAGGAAGGUAGAAUUCCCGGUGUAGCGGUGAAAUGCGUAGAGAUCGGGAGGAAUACCAGUGGCGAAGGCGGCCUUCUGGACUGACACUGACACUGAGGUGCGAAAGCGUGGGUAGCAAACAGGAUUAGAUACCCCUGUAGUC